GAUGAACGCUGGCGGCGUGCCUAAUACAUGCAAGUCGAGCGAACAGACGAGGAGCUUGCUCCUCUGACGUUAGCGGCGGACGGGUGAGUAACACGUGGAUAACCUACCUAUAUGACUGGGAUAACUUCGGGAAACAGGAGCUAAUACCGGAUAAUAUAUUGAACCGCAUGGUUCAAUAGUGAAAGACGGCUUUGCUGUCACUUAUAGAUGGAUCCGCGCCGCAUUAGCUAGUUGGUAAGGUAACGGCUUACCAAGGCAACGAUGCGUAGCCGACCUGAGAGGAUGAUCGGCCACACUGGAACUGAGACACGGUCCAGACUCCUACGGGAGGCAGCAGUGGGGAAUCUUCCGCAAUGGGCGAAAGCCUGACGCAGCCACGCCGCGUGAGUGAUGAAGGUCUUCGGAUCGUAAAGCUCUUUUAUUAGGGAAGAACAGAUGUGUAAGUAUCUCUGGCCGUCUUGACGGUACCUAAUCAGUAAGCCCCGGCUAACUACGUG
rnacentral:rRNA from 1 species